CCUACGGGCGGCAGCAGUGGGGAAUAUUGGACAAUGGGGGAAACCCUGAUCCAGCGACGCCGCGUGAGUGAAGAAGUAUUUCGGUACGUAAAGCUCUAUCAGCAGGAAAGAAAAUGACGGUACCUGACUAAGAAGCCCCGGCUAACUACGUGCCAGCAGCCGCGGUAAUACGUAGGGGGCAAGCGUUAUCCGGAUUUACUGGGGGUAAAGGGAGCGUAGACGGCAGCGCAAGUCUGGAGUGAAAUGCCGGGGCUCAACCCCGGAACUGCUCUGGAAACUGGGAAGCUGGAGUGCAGGAGAGGUGAGCGGAAUUCCUGGUGUAGCGGUGAAAUGCGUAGAUAUCAGGAGGAACACCGGCGGCGAAGGCGGCUUACUGGACUGUAACUGACGUUGAGGCUCGAAGGCGUGGGGAGCAAACAGGAUUAGAUACCCGAGUAGUC
rnacentral:rRNA from 1 species